rnacentral:lncRNA from 1 species
AUGGCCACACUCACAGCAUAUGGAAGUUCCCAGGCCACGAACUGAACCCCCGCCUCCGCACCUAUGGAGAUUCCCAGGCUAGUGGCUGAAUCAGAGCUGCAGCUGCCGGCCUCUGCCACAGCCACAGCCACACCAAAUCUGAGCCACAGCUGCGACCAACACCACAGCUCACCACAAUGUCGCAUCUUUAACCCACCGAGGGAAGUGAGAGAUCGAACCCACGUCCUCGUGGAUACCAGUCGGAUUUGUAACCCGCUGAGCCACACCGGGAACUCCGAGAUAUGUUUAAAAGUGAAUCCAUGGACAGUGUCUUAGAAUGGGAGGUUUCAAGUCAAAAUGAAGAUUUCUAGUUUCUCUUGAAAAAUCAGGAGCCACCAAACCCAAGAGUGGCAACUGUCCCUUAGUCUGUCCAGCUCAGCAGCAUCCCCACCCCUCCCUACCGUCUCAGGCUGGUCAGCCUGCGCGAUGCCCGGAGACCUCGCCAGCUCUGAAACGAUGCGGGUUUGGGCGACAAACAGCGUCUACGGGGGCUUAAUAAAUGUAUGCGACCAGGACACUCGGCUCGGGUGUCAGCAAACAUCUUCGUUUAUCCAGCUUCAACAGAGACAGGUGGACCCUCCCCCUUCAGCUUGGGGGUGAGGGGCAGCCAGGAGGGAGGCCCCGAUACACGGCGGGUGGGCCCCACUCGAGUCAAAGGCAAGACUUGCCUCGAAUUAUAAAAUGGUUUUCGCUUCUGCAAAAAAGGCCCAUUCUCAUGAUGGUUCAAAGUCACAGACCAGACCGUCUCUCCAAGGAAACACACGCACUGAAUUGUGCAUGGAGUUGGACCAAGCUCACAAAAGCCUACCUGUAAACCCCGUGGAUCCAGAUGCGGGUACAGAGGUACGUGGCGUCUACAGACCCUGCAGCACACAACCCUCUAUAAAGCCAAGCCCGGGCACUGACACACCUCCCCAGCACUUCCAUCCGGGCCAAGAGGCUAUGGAGGAGCAAAGAUACGAAGCUCUUAUGGAGUUUCCAUGGUCUAAAUUCUUUUUUUUUUUUAAGUCUUUGGGGCCACACGUGUGGCACAUGGACGUUCCCGGGGCUGGGGUCAAAUCGGACCUGCAGCUACUGGCCUACACCACAGCCACAGAAACUCAGGAUCCGAGCCUCGUCUGUGACCUACACUGCAGCUCAAAGCAGCACCAGAUCCUUAACCCACUGAGCGACACCAGGGAUUGAACCCACAUCCUCAUGGAUACUACUCAGGUUUGGAACCCGCUGGGCCACAAGGGGGACUCCUCCAAGAUCUAAGUUCUAAUGGUAUUUCCUCACUCAGGCUCCUCUACCAUCUUCAAAGCCCUAUGUACCAUGCCCAAACAUCAAUCACUGCCCCACUUAACAAAAAACAAGCUGCAGCCAAAAUGGGCUUCCGAGUGGGGCCACCAGUAGAAGUUCACAAAAACAUUCAUAAGCCACCCCCUGUGAGCUGCCUAGACCCAACCCUGCCACACGCCAGGCCAGGCCGGAUACCGUCCUCAGGCCACAUCCAUCAGUGGCUGAGCAGCCAACUGCCUAGGCCUAAACAACGAAAACCCUCCACAGGGUUCCAGGAACCCAGGCAGGAUGCUGAGGCCAGAACUGGCUCUCUCAGGUAGCAGGCUUCACCUCGAAGGGCUCCCAGGUCACCUGGUGAGGGGUGGGCCUGGCUGCCCCCGAGCUCGACUGCUGGCGCCACAAAAGCCUCAAGGCUGAUGGACAGGUUUUCUCUCCCUUGUGGGGAGAAUGAACGUCCUGGAGGCUGAGGGCUGCAGAGGGAACCCCGAUCAGCCAGAGUCGGGUAAAUAAGGGUCUAGGUUGCAGCGUGGGUAGAAAGGCGAGUCCCCACAACUCUUUCUGGAGGAAUCUGGCCACGUGUGUGUUUUGUUUUUGUUUUUUGUCUUUUUGCCUUUUCUAGGGCCGCUCCCGCGGCAUAUGGAGGUUCCCAGGCUAGGGGUCAAAUCGGAGCUAUAGCCGCUGGCCCACACCAGAACCACAGUAACGUGGGAUCCGAGCCGCAUCUGCAACCUACACCACAGCUCACGGCAACGCCGGAUCCUUAACCCAAGCAGCAAAGCCAGGGAUCGAACCCGCAACUUCAUGGUUCCUCGUCGGAUUCGUUAACCACUGCGCCACAACGGGACCUCCCUUUCCCGGCAACGUUUUUAAUGAUGCAGGACAUCAAGACAUCGAGACGUCACACCCGGCCUUUUCCCCUCCCAAGACCUAUUCAAGGGAUCACAGAUGGGUCACUGUCAAGAAGUGAGAACACGCCCGUGGGAACUGGGAACACGGCAGCACCAAACGGCAGGGGGCCCUCCGGGGCCCAGGAUGGAAGAAGCCCGGCCCAGACACCCCACGACACACAGCACCGCGCGAGGAGGGAGGCGAUGCAGUCCUGCAAGUUUCAACUCGGAAACCGGCUGUGUGGUUACAACCCACUCCCUGUGCCCAGCUGACAGGCUCCCGGUACUAGCAGUGCCACCAAGGAAGCCCUCCCGCGUCUUAGAGUCUCACGAGACAACUAUUUCCAAAAAGCUACGUCUCUGUGUCCAGAAAAGAAAGGCCCAGCCAUCAAUCUGAUCUAAAACAGACAAUCGCAGCCCACACUUCCCUUCCCCCGCGAGCCCGAGCAGGGUCGGCCAGAAAUCCUUCUCAAGAGCCCCUCUAAACGGGGCCCCGAGGACAGAGCCUCAGGGGCCGAUUCUGAGCCUCAGUUUUCUCAUCCUGUGAAAUGAGGGCAGCUCACCUCUUCCCCCCACCCCACCGCCCCACGAAGUGGCAGGGGGCAGUCACACAGGCCUGCCACCUCUGGGAUGCAGAAGUCCCUCCAGUGUUCCCAUCUGAUGGAGAAUUUCACCUUGACCUGUAUUCAACUUGGCCGUCGUCUGGUCUAGCACGUCCCUCUGUGCCUAAGUGAAGGGAGAGAGACCACACAGCCGACGUAAAAAAGCUACACAAAUACAUUCAAAGAUAAACGGACCCCAGAAAUCUGGCAGGAAGAAUCCGUUCCUGCCCCUGGGUUUUAUCCUUCACGGAUGUCUGGUGGGGGGCAGCAGCGUGAGCCCCCGUGGGGCGAGAGGAGGCAGACAGAUGAGCUCCUGUUUCUCCCAGUUGAUGGCCAAACAGGGUAAUCCCGACCCUGCCAGCCAGACCCUCAGGGAACAAGAGGACAGAGUGAGAACCACCCCAGGACAUCUCAUCCUUCCUGUCCCCAAACAGGCCGGUGGCACAGCAGGGGGCGCCUGGGGCCCUAGCUCAGCUGGGGGUGGGGGGGGAGAUGGUGGAGACGCCCGGGGGGGCCCUAAGGAGGCCCCACCCACUCCGCCUGCAGGCCUGAUUCUCCUCAGCUUUUGACACAUGGAUUUUCCUUCAGAAGCCUCCACCUGCCAAUGUCGAUAGGGCCCUCCCUGACCAAAAGCCAACUGAUGGAAGGAAACCUUUUGCUGCUGCCUGCGGGCACAGAUGUGCCAACUGGACAGGAAGGGCAGGGCUAGAAGAGGCACCACCAGCAAUCCCACCCACCACCACAGGGUGGGGCAGGGGGCAGCAAGUCCCCCCAGAGGGGUGGGUAUGCGCGUCCAUGCGUGUCCAAGACCCUGGUAGUGGGCCAGGCCCCAGAAGAACCCUUUGGUUCCUGCAGCCUCACCAGGGGGAGGGUCAGUGGGGGCUCCAGGGAGCCCCUGGGAGGCCACAGAGGGCAGUGGACCGAGCCUUCCGGUGUCCUCGGUUAAAAUCCCAGGACUCCUAGAGCCACCAAGUCGGGGAUGACCUGGCGCGCUUCCUGACAAACCCCACCACGAGUGCCCUCCGUGCCAGGCGCUGCUCUGAGCACUCUAUAAGAACGCGGUUAACCCUCUACAGCCCAACAACGUGGGCGCCACGGCCAUUCCUCCUUUAGAGAGAAAACCCAGGCCCGCAAGUGUGCCAGUCACACAGGUUCAGCCAGAGGUGACUGCCCUGGUCAGAGACAGACCAACAGGCCACUAAGAGCAGACACGGGCUCUUCCCCCAGCCCCCGGAGGGCUUUGGCCCUUCCUCUUUGUUGACCCGUUCAGGCACGGGCCUGUGACACGCAUUAUGUCACCUCAAUCCUUGACUCCAAAAAGCCACUGCCUCCCCAUCCUACAGGAAGGCAGCAGCUGGGGGUGGCGGGGGCGCGCAGCAGCCCCGACCUCGGUGAGAGGGCCUAUGCCAUCACUGACCCACGAGGAGUCUGGCAACCCCCAAAAAAGCCACUGCAACGUGCAACUUCUCACACCUCCAGCUGGAGGAACCGGUUCCAGGAAGGGAAGGCUUGGCCAGCGCUCCAGAGACAGAGAAGCCACCCAUCCAAGCACAACCCGCACGGGAAGGCCCCUUUAGGAGAAGGGCUUGCAGCUCACCUGGGGCAACUCUGGGGCCAACAGCAAACUCUGGCCUCCCACGUGGGACCGCAAUUCUCCUGAGGAAGCAGCAGCCCCCCCUCUCCACCGAGGAUGCCUCACCCACGGCUCCCCACCCCCAGCAGAAGGCCCUUGGAGCUCAGCUGGGGCUUUGGAAGCUCAGAUACCCGGGCCCCAACCCUAGAGAUUUGGGUCUUCACCGGUCACAGGUGCGGCCUGGGCUGGGGGGCUGGGGGUUUAAAAAGUCCCCAGGUGAAUCUAAAAUGUAGUCAAGAAUGAACACCUGGUCUGAGGGCUUCCUGCUCCCCCCACAUCUCCUUCCUCAGUUAAGUCCCUCCCAGAGUCCGCCAGGUCCCCCGGGGACCCCUUCAAAGCCUCAAGUUCAGCCAGAAGCCCUCUCUUCCAUAGAGGCUUGCACAUGCUGGUUCCCGCCAGGCCUACCCACCCUCUCCGGAGGCUGCUCUCACUUCGCCCAGCUCUGCAGGAGCUUCCCCUCUGGAUGUGCUCUAGGCUUUGGGGAGGGAGAGGCGGCGGGGGGUGGGGUUGGUCUCAGGGACCCCGGGCUUCGCAGCUGACAGGAGAGUGCCAGGCAGAGGAGCAGCCCCAGCAAAGGCAGGGACAGGGCACAGAGCAGGGAGGCCUGAGGUUCCAUCCUGCUGGAGCAGAGGCGCACGUCAAGAGGCUGGUGGGGGAACGAAGCUGCAGAGGCGAGAUUAAAAGGCCCCCGGCGCGCCGUUUGGCAGGCGUGCAAAGGGCCGCUCGGGAUGCGCUC